rnacentral:rRNA from 1 species
GACGAACGCUGGCGGCGUGCCUAAUACAUGCAAGUAGAACGCUGAAGAGAGGAGCUUACUCUUCUUGGAUGAGUUGCGAACGGGUGAGUAACGCGUGGGUAACCUGCCUUGUAGCGGGGGAUAACUAUUGGAAACGAUAGCUAAUACCGCAUAACAAUGGAUGACACAUGUCAUUUAUUUGAAAGGGGCAAUUGCUCCACUACAAGAUGGACCUGCGUUGUAUUAGCUAGUAGGUGAGGUAAUGGCUCACCUAGGCGACGAUACAUAGCCGACCUGAGAGGGUGAUCGGCCACACUGGGACUGAGACACGGCCCAGACUCCUACGGGAGGCAGCAGUAGGGAAUCUUCGGCAAUGGGGGCAACCCUGACCGAGCAACGCCGCGUGAGGGAAGAAGGGUUUCGGAUCGUAAAGCUCUGUUGUAAGUCAAGAACGGGUGUGAGAGUGGAAAGUUCACACUGUGACGGUAGCUUACCAGAAAGGGACGGCUAACUACGUG